rnacentral:rRNA from 1 species
AUGAACGCUGGCGGCGUGCCUAAUACAUGCAAGUCGAGCGAACGGACGAGAAGCUUGCUUUUCUGAUGUUAGCGGCGGACGGGUGAGUAACCCGUGGAUAACCUACCUAUAAGACUGGGAUAACUUCGGGAAACCGGAGCUAAUACCGGAUAAUAUUUUGAACCGCAUGGUUCAAAAGUGAAAGACGGUCUUGCUGUCACUUAUAGAUGGAUCCGCGCUGCAUUAGCUAGUUGGUAAGGUAACGGCUUACCAAGGCAACGAUGCAUAGCCGACCUGAGAGGGUGAUCGGCCACACUGGAACUGAGACACGGUCCAGACUCCUACGGGAGGCAGCAGUAGGGAAUCUUCCGCAAAGGGCGAAAGCCUGACGGAGCAACGCCGCGUGAGUGAUGAAGGUCUUCGGAUCGUAAAACUCUGUUAUUAGGGAAGAACAUAUGUGUAAGUAACUGUGCACAUCUUGACGGUACCUAAUCAGAAAGCCACGGCUAACUACGUG